rnacentral:rRNA from 1 species
AGCGAACGCUGGCGGCAGGCCUAAUACAUGCAAGUCGAACGGCUCUUCGGAGCAGUGGCGGACGGGUGAGUAACGCGUGGGAACGUGCCCUUUGGUUCGGAACAACACAGGGAAACUUGUGCUAAUACCGAAUGUGCCCUUCGGGGGAAAGAUUUAUCGCCAUUGGAGCGGCCCGCGUUGGAUUAGGUAGUUGGUGGGGUAAAGGCCUACCAAGCCUACGAUCCAUAGCUGGUCUGAGAGGAUGAUCAGCCACACUGGGACUGGGACACGGCCCAGACUCCUACGGGAGGCAACAGUAGGGAAUCUUGCGCAAUGGGCGAAAGCCUGACGCAGCCAUGCCGCGUGAAUGAUGAAGGUCUUAGGAUUGUAAAAUUCUUUCACCGGGGAAGAUAAUGACGGUACCCGGAGAAGAAGCCCCGGCUAACUUCGUGCCAGCCGCCGCCGUAACAC